AUUAUCAGCUUUAUGUUCUCUUCUUUGUUUUAGAACUAGUUGUAAAAUGCUCUGAUAUCACUAGAUCUCUUUGUAUUACUGUUUUAAUUAUUGGAAAUUUUGUAGACGCCUUAUAUGUUUUAGACGUAUGGCGGGUCUGGACACGUGCCGGAUAGGCUUCCGCUGAGCCCCGGGGCGUGACACACUCGUUCUAUUAUCAUUGUUACUUACAUGCCACUCGUUAUGUCUUAUCAACUAUCGAGUCCAUCUCUUAUCUCAGCACUAUAGAAUUCAAU
rnacentral:lncRNA from 1 species